UGGCAGGUGGUUUAACAGCAAAACGCCUUUUCCCUGUUCAAAUUUUGCCUGUGAGGGCCGAGGAAUAAGGGUUAUCGCCUUUUCAGCGGGAGAUGUGGGUGCAAAUCCCACCCUGCCAACCA
rnacentral:tRNA from 1 species